rnacentral:rRNA from 1 species
GGUUAAGUGACUAAGCGUACACGGUGGAUGCCUUGGCAGUCAGAGGCGAUGAAAGACGUAGUAACUUGCGAUAAGCCCAGAUUAGGUAGUAACAACCAUUUGAGUCUGGGAUUUCUGAAUGGGGAAACCCACGUGCAUAAGCACGUAUCCUUACCUGAAUACAUAGGGUAAGGAGGCGAACCGGGGGAACUGAAACAUCUAAGUACCCCGAGGAAAAGAAAUCAACCGAGAUUCCGAAAGUAGCGGCGAGCGAAAUUGGACUAGCCCUUAAGCUUUACACGCGUUAGACGAACGGUCUGGAAAGUCCGACGAUACAGGGUGAUAGUCCCGUAGUUGACGACGUGUGUUCAGUGAAAUCGAGUAGGGCGGGACACGUGAUAUCCUGUCUGAAUAUGGGGGGACCAUCCUCCAAGGCUAAAUACUACUGACUGACCGAUAGUGAACCAGUACCGUGAGGGAAAGGCGAAAAGAACCCCUGUGAGGGGAGUGAAAUAGAACCUGAAACCGUGUACGUACAAGCAGUAGGAGCAGGCUUUGUCCUGUGACUGCGUACCUUUUGUAUAAUGGGUCAGCGACUUAUAUUCAGUGGCAAGGUUAACCAUCUAGGGGAGCCGUAGGGAAACCGAGUCUUAACUGGGCGUUCAGUCUCUGGAUAUAGACCCGAAACCAGGUGAUCUAGCCAUGGGCAGGUUGAAGGUUGAGUAACAUCAACUGGAGGACCGAACCGACUAAUGUUGAAAAAUUAGCGGAUGACUUGUGGCUAGGGGUGAAAGGCCAAUCAAACCUGGAGAUAGCUGGUUCUCCCCGAAAGCUAUUUAGGUAGCGCCUCGGACGAAUACUACUGGGGGUAGAGCACUGUUAAGGCUAGGGGGUCAUCCCGACUUACCAACCCUUUGCAAACUCCGAAUACCAGUAAGUACUAUCCGGGAGACACACGGCGGGUGCUAACGUCCGUCGUGGAGAGGGAAACAACCCAGACCGCCAGCUAAGGUCCCAAAUUACUACUAAGUGGGAAACGAUGUGGGAAGGCUCAGACAGCCAGGAUGUUGGCUUAGAAGCAGCCAUCAUUUAAAGAAAGCGUAAUAGCUCACUGGUCGAGUCGGCCUGCGCGGAAGAUGUAACGGGGCUAAGUAGUAAACCGAAGCUGCGGCAAUGUGCUUUUGCACAUUGGGUAGGGGAGCGUUCUGUAAGCGGUUGAAGGUGUGUGGUAACGCAUGCUGGACGUAUCAGAAGUGCGAAUGCUGACAUGAGUAACGAUAAAGGGGGUGAAAAACCUCCUCGCCGGAAGACCAAGGGUUCCUGUCCAACGUUAAUCGGGGCAGGGUAAGUCGACCCCUAAGGCGAGGCCGAAAGGCGUAGUCGAUGGGAAACGGGUUAAUAUUCCCGUACUUCUUACAAUUGCGAUGGGGGGACGGAGAAGGCUAGGUGGGCCUGGCGACGGUUGUCCAGGUUCAAGUGCGUAGGCUUAAGAGUUAGGUAAAUCCGGCUCUUUCUAAGGCUGAGACACGACGUCGAGCACCUACGGGUGUGAAGUCAUUGAUGCCAUGCUUCCAGGAAAAGCCUCUAAGCUUCAGAUUGUAAGGAAUCGUACCCCAAACCGACACAGGUGGUCGGGUAGAGAAUACCAAGGCGCUUGAGAGAACUCGGGUGAAGGAACUAGGCAAAAUGGUACCGUAACUUCGGGAGAAGGUACGCUCUUGAUGGUGAAGUCCCUCGCGGAUGGAGCUGACGAGAGUCGCAGAUACCAGGUGGCUGCAACUGUUUAUUAAAAACACAGCACUGUGCAAAAUCGUAAGAUGACGUAUACGGUGUGACGCCUGCCCGGUGCCGGAAGGUUAAUUGAUGGGGUUAGACUUCGGUCGAAGCUCUUGAUCGAAGCCCCGGUAAACGGCGGCCGUAACUAUAACGGUCCUAAGGUAGCGAAAUUCCUUGUCGGGUAAGUUCCGACCUGCACGAAUGGCGUAAUGAUGGCCACGCUGUCUCCACCCGAGACUCAGUGAAAUUGAAAUCGCUGUGAAGAUGCAGUGUACCCGCGGCUAGACGGAAAGACCCCGUGAACCUUUACUACAGCUUGGCACUGAACAUUGACCCUACAUGUGUAGGAUAGGUGGGAGGCUUUGAAGCACGUACGCCAGUAUGUGUGGAGCCGUCCUUGAAAUACCACCCUUGUAGUGUUGAUGUUCUAACGUCGACCCCUUAUCGGGGUUGCGGACAGUGCCUGGUGGGUAGUUUGACUGGGGCGGUCUCCUCCCAAAGAGUAACGGAGGAGCACGAAGGUGGGCUAAUCACGGUUGGACAUCGUGAGGUUAGUGCAAUGGCAUAAGCCCGCUUGACUGCGAGAAUGACAAUUCGAGCAGGUGCGAAAGCAGGUCAUAGUGAUCCGGUGGUUCUGAAUGGAAGGGCCAUCGCUCAACGGAUAAAAGGUACUCCGGGGAUAACAGGCUGAUACCGCCCAAGAGUUCAUAUCGACGGCGGUGUUUGGCACCUCGAUGUCGGCUCAUCACAUCCUGGGGCUGAAGUCGGUCCCAAGGGUAUGGCUGUUCGCCAUUUAAAGUGGUACGCGAGCUGGGUUUAGAACGUCGUGAGACAGUUCGGUCCCUAUCUGCCGUGGGCGUUGGAAGAUUGAAGGGGGCUGCUCCUAGUACGAGAGGACCGGAGUGGACGAACCUCUGGUGUUCGGGUUGUGUCGCCAGACGCAUUGCCCGGUAGCUAAGUUCGGAAUCGAUAACCGCUGAAAGCAUCUAAGCGGGAAGCGAGCCCUGAGAUGAGUCUUCCCUGAUACUUUAAGUAUCCUAAAGGGUUGUCGGAGACUACGACGUUGAUAGGUCAGGUGUGUAAGUGCUGUGAGGCAUUGAGCUAACUGAUACUAAUUGCCCGUGAGGCUUAACCAU